UACGGGGGGGGCAAGCGUUGUUCGGAAUUACUGGGCGUAAAGGGCUCGUAGGCGGCCAACUAAGUCGGAUGUGAAAUCCCCAGGCUUAACCUGGGAACUGCAUCCGAUACUGGAUGGCUUGAAUCCGGGAGAGGGAUGCGGAAUUCCAGGUGUAGCGGUGAAAUGCGCAGAUAUCAGGAGGAACACCGGUGGCGAAGGCGGGUCUCUGGGCCGAUACUGACGCUGAGGAGCGAAAGCAUGGGUAGCGAACAGG
rnacentral:rRNA from 1 species